UUCCACUUAGGAAGAGUGAGAUCAAGCUGUAACCUUCUUUUGUUUAUAAGACAUACUUGGGAUGACCACACUGGUGAAUAAACUGGAAGUGUGAUGCAAGACCAUUUCAUCAGGUCUAAUUUCUAUAAGAGGAAAAACGAAUAUUCCUACUGGGCUGUGACAACAAAUGAAUAAAUUCAGAAGAGAUGCAUCAUCCUUCUAAAUGUAUCGAGGUGCAGAAAGCCUGGAAUGGGUGUGGUGGAGCUGAGAGCACCAGCCACAGUAACCAGUAGAACCAGUUCUUUUCUAUAUAGCCUGGGAAAUCCUGCCUUCAAAGACAUGAGUUGACUGCUUUUACUAAAAUAUCCAGCUCACAUUCAGACAGAGAAAACAAGGACCAGUUUCAGCAGCUGCUGCUAGUGGGCCAGAGUAUCCACAGCACAAAUACACUUGUUUUGCGUGUGUUCU